GAUGAACGCUGGCGGUAUGCUUAACACAUGCAAGUCGAACGGGAUUCUUCGGAAUCUAGUGGCGGACGGGUGAGUAACGCGUGAGAAUCUGCCUUCAGGUCGGGGACAACAUUUGGAAACGAAUGCUAAUACCCGAUGUGCCGCAAGGUGAAAGGUUAACUGCCUGAAGAUGAGCUCGCGUCCGAUUAGCUAGUUGGUGGUGUAAAGGACUACCAAGGCGACGAUCGGUAGCUGGUUUGAGAGGACAAUCAGCCACACUGGAACUGAGACACGGUCCAGACUCCUACGGGAGGCAGCAGUGGGGAAUUUUCCGCAAUGGGCGAAAGCCUGACGGAGCAAUACCGCGUGAGGGACGAAGGCUUUUGGGUCGUAAACCUCUUUUCUCAAGGAAGAUUUAGACGGUACUUGAGGAAUAAGCAUCGGCUAACUCCGUGCCAGCAGCCGCGGUAAU
rnacentral:rRNA from 1 species